AGUGAACGCUGGCGGUAGGCCUAACACAUGCAAGUCGAACGGCAGCACAGUAAGAGCUUGCUCUUACGGGUGGCGAGUGGCGGACGGGUGAGGAAUACAGCGGAAUCUACUUUUUCGUGGGGGAUAACGUAGGGAAACUUACGCUAAUACAGCAUACGACCUACGGGUGAAAGCAGGGGAUCAUCGGACCUUGCGCGAUUGAAUGGGCCGAUGUCGGAUUAGCUAGUUGGCGGGGUAAAGGCCCACCAAGGCGACGAUCCGUAGCUGGUCUGAGAGGAUGAUCAGCCACACUGGAACUGAGACACGGUCCAGACUCCUACGGGAGGCAGCAGUGGGGAAUAUUGGACAAUGAGCGCAAGCCUGAUCCAGACAUACCGCGUGGGUGAAGAAGGCCUUCGGGUUGUAAAGCCCUUUUGUUGGGAAAGAAAAGCAGCAGGUUAAAACCCCGCUGUUCUGACGGUACCCAAAGAAAAAGCACCGGCUAACUUCGUG
rnacentral:rRNA from 1 species